GGAAGGAUCAUUGAAUCUAUCAAUACCAACACCUGUGAACCAUGAUGUUCGGUCCGCCGGGUGGGCUUCAUUGCCCGCCGGGUGCAGCCUGUGGAGAGCGCGUGGGCAACUGCGUGGGAUCCAUGGGCUGGGUCUGCUGGCCGCCUUCUAUCAACCCUCCACUUUCGGGUGGGUGGGGUUCUUAGAUGGCCAGUGGGCUGGCCCCCCCUUAUUAACCACAACACCAAACCAAAACAACUAAAGCUAAAGAUGUGCAGCUGGCCUGGCCACUGCAUCCUAACUGAGACAACUCUCAACAACGGAUAUCUUGGCUCUCGCAACGAUGAAGAACGCAGCGAAAUGCGAUACGUAGUGUGAAUUGCAGAAUUCCGUGAAUCAUCGAAUCUUUGAACGCACAUUGCGCUCGAGGCUUCGGCCAAGAGCAUGUCUGCCUCAGCGUCGGGUUAAUAUCACACACACCCAUCUAUUCCCUUGUGGAACAGUCGGGCUCGUGUGGAUCUGGUUGUCCCAGCGUGGUGGCCUCGGAUGGAUUCAAAACCCAUCCUUGGCCGUUCAUACCUGCUGGGUCAGCUGAAGUUCAGAGGCUAACCAAGGACCCAUCAAGGGCCGCAACUGGGUAGGCAUUCACAGCUCCGGCUGCCUUGCUAUUUCUUAGUUGUUGGUCUGGGACCAUGUGCGAGCCCUCAAACAGGAACCUAUUAACCUAUUUUCUCGAUCUGAGCUCAGGCAAGAACACCCGCUGAACUUAAGCAUAUCAAUAAGCGGAGGAAAAGAAACUAACAAGGAUUCCCCUAGUAACGGCGAGUGAAACGGGAAAAGCCCAACUUGAAAAUCUCCCUUUGGAGAAUUGUAGUCUAGAGAAGCGCCCUCUGUGGCGGCCGGAGCCCAAGUCCACUGGAAAGUGGCGUCAGAGAGGGUGAGAACCCCGUCGGCUUUCGGCUUAGCUACUCCACGAGGUGCUUUCCACGAGUCGGGUUGUUUGGGAAUGCAGCCCAAAAUUGGAGGUAAAUCCCUUCUAAGGCUAAAUACUGGCGAGAGACCGAUAGCGAACAAGUACCGUGAGGGAAAGAUGAAAAGAACUUUGAAAAGAGAGUUAAAAAGUGCUUGAAAUUGUUGAGAGGGAAGCGAUUGGAAGGUGUGGGUGCGCUUAGGCUUAUGUGUCUCUAACGAGCCGCUGUAUGUGCUAAGCGCUGGUCAGCAUGGGUUAGUCGGGCGGGAUAACAGCAGGGGUUGAUACCCUGUCUAUGCCGCCUGGCUGAUCAAGGUGUGAAUGGCGCUCGGUCCUUCGGGAACUGCGUCAUCAAGAUGCUGGCAGAAGCCUUUCAAUCGGCCCGUCUUGAAACACGGACCAAGGAGUCUAACAUGUAUGCGAGUUGGUGGGUGGAAAACCCAUGAAGCGUAAGUAACCUGACUGGUGGGAUGGCCUGUGCCUGCACCAUCGACCGACCAUGAUCUUCUGUGAAAGGUUUGAGUGCGAGCAUACAUGUUGGGACCCGAAAGAUGGUGAACUAUGCCUGAGCAGGGUGAAGCCAGAGGAAACUCUGGUGGAGGCUCGUAGAUGUGCUGACGUGCAAAUCGCUUUUCGGACUUGGGUAUAGGGGCGAAAGACUAAUCGAACCAUCUAGUAGCUGGUUUCCUC
rnacentral:misc_RNA from 1 species